UUUUAGCCCCGGUUGUAGUGUAAAUCCUUUUGCAAAGCUCAACUAUUUGUAAAUUUGGGCUUUGCAAAAGAUUGGAGCGAAAAACGGGAAAAUGG
rnacentral:sRNA from 1 species